rnacentral:lncRNA from 1 species
CCGUUUUGAACUUGUACUGUUCAAUAUUUUUAAUUCAAACCAUUUUUCCUUUCAUCAUCUGACAUUUUUGUCUAGUUUUGGGUUGCACCCGAGGCAAAUGAAUCAUACCAAAUACUGAUAGAAAAUCAUACAUUUCCUCACGAAACCAAACUUCUAAACUUUCCUACAAUAAUUCUUUGAAUUUGCACACACAGCUUAAUUGAACUUUUCAACAUUGGAUCCCCUAAUUAUACAUAACAGUCAGUUUAUACGAACUAGCUCUCCUUGGACUGAUGUCCGCGUUCCACUUGGACGGCUGCCAGUCACCAUGAUGGACGAGCUAGUGGCCAAGUGCGGCCAAAGCCACCGGGGGACUGUAGGUGCUUGUUCUUAUUCUCUGCUACGAAUUCACACAAGGUGGAGGUGAUUAGGGGAAGCAUGGUUCAUGGGUAACCUUCAUCUUGCCGCCGGAUACGGGCUGCUCGCGCUCGUGGACGCCAUCGACCGGACUCGAGGUAGCACCACUCGUGGACAGAGAUCAAUAGAGCCUGACAUGCACUACAACCCAAUCCAAUCCUGUCAUAUAACAAGGAACAAAUAAUAAUUUAUAUUUUGUUAAUUUCUGAAGGCAUCUGUACAACAAAUUAGAACUUCAGAGAGGUAUUUUUUCAUACAAACUGUGUCCAUGCUAUAGGUUUGAAUAAAUUGAGAGAGGGAGAGGGAGAGUAUUAUGUACUAAAUUCAUGUGGAGAGCAGAGCAGCUGCACGUCUAGGAUGGGCUGCCCCGGAGCAAAGCUCGCUCUCCCGCUGUUGGAUGACUUAACUUGGACAGCACCCAGUGCUCGACCUGGACGGCGCCCAGCGCUUGACUUGGAUGGAGGAGUUUCUACGCUCAGGAGGUUCCUCGCAUGUACGGUUCAUCUUGUUGGGCUGCCAAAAUAGACACAAAAAAUCACGUCGGAGCAAAUCAUCAUAAACCUUUUUACAAAACUGCUUGCCAAAUCCCGGUUUAGUGAAUUUACUAUAUAAUCUACUGCCGAACUGUUUAUUUAACACAAAUAGAAAUUUUUUGUAAUACACACUGAUAUAGCAUACAACAUAUUCAUAACAUCACUUCUCCUAACUGCAUUAUGAUCUAUCCAUUCAAGAGAGUUUGAACUUGCUAGCAUCUACUCCUAAUUGCAGCCAUCCCAUUAACUUUUACAAAACAAUUCUCAAUAUGGAGCAAAUAACAACAGGAAAGAGGCCUCCACCAUGCACAUACAACAUCGACAUGCUAGUUUUAGUGCCCUUUGUGAGCCUCCAAAGCAAAUGUGUUACAUCUAGGUGAUAUCUCUGUACUUAUAAAGUUUUUGAAGGUGAACUAUAGCAAAUGUUUAUAGUCCACAUAAAAGUUUAAAUACGUGUACUGCUCCAAAGCAAAUCUUUUAUAGUCCACAUGUGCAUAAAAGUUAGCUUUUAUUGAACAACAAAGAAGCAUCACAAAAGAUUAUUUUAGUUCUUCCAGGCAUAUCAACAAACAGCUUGCGAGCAACAGGAGUAGAAUAAGUUCUCCCAUGCAAACUGAAGAAGUUCUCUAAGUAGAAGAAUAAACAACUAGACUCCCAUCCUGGACCCUUAAAGAUGAAAUACGAAGAUGCAAGCUUUUACUGGAAUAAAGUUAUCCACAUUUUUGCAUACUUGGCACACCAGAGAACCUGCAUUGCUCGAUUUGUCAAGUAAAAUGGCAGCACAUUCCUGUGGCUCUUUUUUGGAGUGGUCGCUCUAAAGCACAGGUAAAUAAAUGCACAGUAAAAUGGCAGCAUUACACAUACUCAAGAACUAACAGUUUACUGGAAAACGCUGCCAAAAUCUAUUUUCAUGCAAAUUUUGUGUCUACUUAUUUGGAUAUCUGCAGCAACCAUGUCAUACACUAACGAAAUAUCUUCGAAAUGAGACCAAUCAAAGCACAGAGACAACCCGCAAUCAUCAACUAAAGUUGUGUUCUUCAGUUACUCUGACCAAGUUCGGUUUUCUUCAGAAAAUAGAUGAAAAUAGUGUCGACUUUGCCAUAUAUAUUUUUAGCAUGUAUUGGGACGGAUAGGUGAUGAGAAGAUGGACCUUCUCACGGUGGAGAAAACUACCAUCGGGGGCUGGUAGGAAGACGUACUUGUCGAGGCUCUCGAUGGUGCAGCUUGGUCCCCGGCAGUCGUCCUAGGCGGCUCUCACUGUCUCAAACUAGAAAAAGACCGAAGGCGAUGGAGUAGGACAAACGCCGGCUAUCGGAUCGUUGAAGGUCUGAUUCAAGAGCAACAUCAGUUCAAUUCAAAAUAAAUUGGCAGUUUAUGAAUUUUGUAGCUACGAGAGAGGGGGCAAGAACACCACAUAAUGCGAGAGUUGAUGCAUAAUCAACAGUUCAGGAGAUGGAACAGAGCAGGACAAGUAGGCAGAUGAGAGAUAGCAUGGGAGGAAAAAAGCUGAGCCAGGCCCAUGGGUGGAGCACGGGGUGGCCUAUACGCAGCACUUUGAGCGACCGGCCACGGAUCGAC